CAACCUGCCGAUAACUCCGGAAUAGCCCUUCGAAAGAAAGAUUAAUACCGGAUAGCAUACGAAUAUCGCAUGAUAUUUUUAUUAAAGAAUUUCGGUUAUCGAUGGGGAUGCGUUCCAUUAGUUUGUUGGCGGGGUAACGGCCCACCAAGACUACGAUGGAUAGGGGUUCUGAGAGGAAGGUCCCCCACAUUGGAACUGAGACACGGUCCAAACUCCUACGGGAGGCAGCAGUGAGGAAUAUUGGUCAAUGGGCGAGAGCCUGGACCAGCCAAGUAGCGUGAAGGAUGAAGGCUCUAUGGGUCGUAAACUUCUUUUAUAUGGGAAUAAAGUUUUCCACGUGUGGAAUUUUGUAUGUACCAUAUGAAUAAGGAUCGGCUAACUCCGUGCCAGCAGCCGCGGUAAUACGGAGGAUCCGAGCGUUAUCCGGAUUUAUUGGGUUUAAAGGGAGCGUAGGUGGAUUGUUAAGUCAGUUGUGAAAGUUUGCGGCUCAACCGUAAAAUUGCGGUUGAAACUGGCAGUCUUGAGUACAGUAGAGGUGGGCGGAAUUCGUGGUAUAGCGGUGAAAUGCUUAGAUAUCACGAAGAACUCCGAUUG
rnacentral:rRNA from 1 species